AUUGAACGCUGGCGGCAGGCUUAACACAUGCAAGUCGACGAUGAAGAUCCAGCUUGCUGGAUUGGAUUAGUGGCGGACGGGUGAGUAACACUUAGGAAUCUACCUGACAGCGGGGGAUAGCCCGGAGAAAUUCGGAAUAAUACCGCAUACCUUAUACGGAAGAAAGGGGGCAGUUUACUGCUCUCACUGACAGAUGAGCCUAAGCAAGAUUAGCUAGAUGGUAGGGUAAAGGCCUACCAUGGCGACGAUCUUUAGCUGGUCUGAGAGGACGAUCAGCCACACUGGGACUGAGACACGGCCCAGACUCCUACGGGAGGCAGCAGUGGGGAAUAUUGGACAAUGGGGGCAACCCUGAUCCAGCCAUGCCGCGUGUGUGAAGAAGGCCUUUUGGUUGUAAAGCACUUUAAGUAGCGAAGAAGACCCCAUGGUUAAUACCCAUGGGCGAUGACAUUAACUACAGAAUAAGCACCGGCUAACUCUGUGCCAGCAGCCGCGGUAAUACAGAGGGUGCAAGCGUUAAUCGGAAUUACUGGGCGUAAAGCGAGCGUAGGUGGUUAAAUAAGUCAGAUGUGAAAUCCCCGAGCUUAACUUGGGAACUGCAUCUGAAACUGUAUAACUAGAGUAGGUGAGAGGGGAGUAGAAUUUCAGGUGUAGCGGUGAAAUGCGUAGAUAUCUGAAGGAAUACCGAUGGCGAAGGCAGCUCCCUGGCAUCAUACUGACACUGAGGCUCGAAAGCGUGGGUAGCAAACAGG
rnacentral:rRNA from 1 species